CACGUAGGAGGCGAGCGUUGUCCGGAAUCAUUGGGCGUAAAGAGCGCGCAGGCGGCUUGGCAAGUCGGGUGUGAAAUCCCGGGGCUCAACCCCCGUGACUGCAUCCGAUACUGUCAGGCUAGAGGUAGGUAGGGGAGAUCGGAAUUCCUGGUGUAGCGGUGAAAUGCGCAGAUAUCAGGAGGAACACCGGUGGCGAAGGCGGAUCUCUGG
rnacentral:rRNA from 1 species